rnacentral:misc_RNA from 1 species
CAAUUACCCGGUGCUUCCGGGCGCGCCGCGCGAAACGUACCGGGGCCGGCUCAAGGCGGCCUUGGACGAUAUUCGCGCUUACAAGCCGGACCUGAUCGCUGUUUCCGCUGGAUUUGAUGCGUACCGCCGGGAUCCGUUGAGCGACGCGGCACUCGAAGCGGAGGAUUUCCACUGGCUCGGGCGGUCCAUCAGGGAGUUUGGGUUGCCAGCCUUCAGCGUCCUGGAGGGUGGAUACUCGACUGAACUGCCGGAACUGAUCUUUUCAUAUUUACGCGGCCUCUCCGGAAAAUAGAAAUGUC